UACGUAGGGCGCAAGCAUUGUCCGGAUUUAUUGGGCGUAAAGAGCUCGUAGGCGGUUGGUCACGUCGGAUGUGAAACCUCGGAGCUCAACUCCGAGCCUGCAUCCGAUACGGGCCGACUCGAGUGUUGUAGGGGAGACUGGAAUUCCUGGUGUAGCGGUGGAAUGCGCAGAUAUCAGGAGGAACACCGAUGGCGAAGGCAGGUCUCUGGGCAAUUACUGACGCUGAGGAGCGAAAGCGUGGGGAGCAAACAGG
rnacentral:rRNA from 1 species